rnacentral:tRNA from 1 species
AGAUAAAUUUAUCAAGCUUCUAACUUGAAUUUAGCCUAAACUUAGGCUUUAUCUU